ACUGUAUAAUCAGCAACCCAGAGCCUGGGCCUGCUACCAAUAAACAAGCACAUGGGUGCAGCGCUCUGGGGAAGACUCUGUGCUUCCCACUGUAGAUGAACCGGAACGAUGGUGCUGCUCUCUGGUUUAAUAGAGCUAGGAAUUGUCAAUUAUUCCCACAACUCCAACCAAACUGAGAAAUGCAGUCAGAAUCCUGAAAUCUGGUGUUCAGUGUUCCAGGAAGAUGGAGAAUAUUAAGAGCUACACUGCAAGAGUGCUGAAAGUCCUACACAGAGAGUAAGUGUAGGUUUGAAGAUAGUGCCAUCAGAACAUAAAAGAAACAUCGCUAGGAAGUUGGCCUGGGUUUACUAAUGCAGCAAAAUUGUAUAUAGAAUCUUUAAGUGAUCUUGCCUGGAUGUGGAUUACAGACAAAUACUUUAUUCAGCAGAGUUGAGUCUUUGUCUCUCAGCACUAGCUUCUAUGUGUUUUCUUUCUCUGUCACAGUUCAAUUGAUCCUGCUCUAUGGUGAAUGGACAUGCAAUUCUACCAAAAGUGAAGUGAACAUUUUACCUGCUGCUGUUACUAUAGGGAGCCUUCUAUCCAGAUUUCUGUUCUCCAAUUGCUUUAGAAUGGAGUUUAGAACACUUCCAGCACAGUUUACUUUGAAAAUACUUAAUCCGAGAUGAAAACUUCACAAUACUUCCUUUUGAAGGAACACAUUAUAUACAGAUUAGUUCUGUUUUGCCCAGUCAUUCAGCAGGCAACUUCAGUUUGUCUUGUAACUCCCCUCAUUACGUUAGCUCUCCUAACAGCACACACUGGAAUUUUUCUAAAGCUUGUAACUGUGGGGUUUUUUUCCUGCCAUAAAAUAUGUUUUCAUUUCAAGUGUGCACAGAGAUUAGUAACAGAACUAGUUCCAAUAUUAACACAUCCAUAUUCUGUUCAUUUUGAUCUAACAUCUCUCUCUUCAGCUGGUUAUUCUGUCUACUGGCUAUUUUCAAAGUUAUAAAUAUAUGAAUAAAAUCAUGAAGUUUACUGGA
rnacentral:lncRNA from 1 species